CAAUCAAAACCACUGCCCAUUCAAAAUUUUGGCUCCAGUUUCAAAAUUCAAACCGUAUACAUAUAUAACCUACAUUAUUCUGGCUCCACGUUCAAAAUUCAAACUAUAAAGUCAAUCCACAUCUCUUUCAAAUCCAGAGCUCCUAAUUCAUUGUUCUCCUCAUACCCUAAAUUAGAACAAAAUUUGUGAAAUUUGACGUCUGUAUCUUCAGUUUCACCACAACAAUGGCGUCUGUUUCCCUCGGAUACUUUCAUCUUCAUCUUCCUCACUCUAUCAACAACAACAACAACAACGACAACAACAACAACAACAACAACAACAACACUUGUAUCAGUUCCUAUUCAUCCAACGAUGAUGAUGUUGACGCUGAUUCCGAUGAUGAUGAGAAAGAUGCUGGUCAAGGGUUUACAAAUCGGAAUAGGAACACCGCCAAAGGAAUACCAUGUGCAAGUGUCAACGGAGAUUGUUUCGUCUUCAGAUGGACUGUCUACGGAGUCACGUGAAGGAGAGUUAGUGAACCAUCACAGGCUUUACUAUACCAAACUGGAAUAGGAACACCGCCAAAGGAAUACCAUGUGCAAGUGUCAACGGAGAUUGUUUCGUCUUCGGAUGGACUGUCUACGGAGUCACGUGAAGGUUUGAAUUCAGAUUUUUUUAAUGAUAGUUGUUUGUGUUUGAUUAAAAUUGUUUGUAUAUGAUGAUGUUUAGGGUUAGAUUAGUUUUUAGUGUGUUUUUGGGGUUUGGGAACUAUUGAAUAUAGUUAACUGAUUAUUGAAUGCUAUUA